CCGUAAGCCGCUUGGAUGAUAUAUUGAUUCGGCUGUUAGCGGCGAUUCGUGGGUUUAUCGCUCGAGAGUUGGAGUAUCCCGUUCGGGAGUUUAGCGCAUUCCCCUGCUUGCAGUUCGUACGAUUGGAGUCUAAAAGGAAUGGAGUUUGUAUUAUUGCGAGAGGGGAGGAUUCACUAAACGGCGGUUUUGACUAUUUGAUGCUGAGGGUGCCGUUACAA